CCUGGUGGCCAUGGCGAGUGAGAACCACCCGACCCCAUCCCGAACUCGGAAGUGAAGGCACUCAGCGCCGAUGAUAGUGCGGGACUUUCCCGUGCGAAAGUAGGACGCUGCCAGGC
rnacentral:rRNA from 1 species